rnacentral:misc_RNA from 1 species
AAGUCGUAACAAGGUAACCGUAGGUGAACCUGCGGUUGGAUCAUUAACAAAAUGAUAAAAGUUCCUUGGAUAACACCAAGGGCUUUUAUAAACACCUGUGAACUGUAAUUGUAUCUGGUGGGUUAAAAUUGGAAUCUCCAAGGCCUCUUUGGCUACCCACUGUAAAUUUAACCUUUAUGAUCUUGAAUUUCUUUUUGAAUUUUUAUAAUUUAAAAAACAACUUUUGACAACGGAUCUCUAGGCUCUC